AGUAGAGGUGGGAGUUUCACCAUGUUGGUCAGGCUGGUCUCAAACUCCUGACCUCAGGUGAUCCACCCACC
ensembl:miRNA